UGGGGAAUAUUGGGCAAUGGGGCGCAAGCCUGACCCAGCAACGCCGCGUGAAGGAAGAAGGCUUUCGGGUUGUAAACUUCUUUUGUCGGGGACGAGUAGAAGACGGUACCUGGCGAAUAAGCAUCGGCUAACUCCGUGCCAGCAGCCGCGGUAAUACGGAGGAUGCGAGCGUUAUCCGGAUUUAUUGGGUUUAAAGGGUGCGCAGGCGGCGCGAAAAGUCAGCGGUCAAAGUUCCGGGCUCAACCCGGUGACGCCGUUGAAACUUUCGUGCUGGAGUUCGUGCGAGGGAGGCGGAAUGCGUUGUGUAGCGGUGAAAUGCAUAGAUAUGACGCAGAACCCCCGAUUGCGAAGGCAGCUUUCCAGCACGCGACUGACGCUGAGGCACGAAAGCGUGGGGAGCGAACAGGAUUAGAUACCCUGGUAGU
rnacentral:rRNA from 1 species